UCCGUAGGUGAACCUGCGGAAGGAUCAUUAAUGAAUUUUGGAGUUCUACUGUGCCUGCCGUUCAUUUGGAUGUGUGCACGUAGUCUCUAUAAAUCCUUAUCAACACCUGUGCACCUUUAAAAAGGGGAAACUGAUUAAGCUUUUUACGGGCUUAUGAGGAAUAACCUUUUUUUCUUAUACAAACUCUUAAUGUCUAUUAGAAUGUUCUCUGGCCGCAAGGCUAUAAAAUAUAAACAACUUUUAACAACGGAUCUCUUGGCUCUCGCAUCGAUGAAGAACGCAGCGAAAUGCGAUAAGUAAUGUGAAUUGCAGAAUUCAGUGAAUCAUCGAAUCUUUGAACGCACCUUGCACUCCUUGGUAUUCCGAGGAGUACGCCUGUUCGAGUGUUAUGAAGCUCUCAAAACGCAAUUGGCUUAAAACCUGAUUGUUGUUUUGGAUUUGAACUUUGCCGUGUUAUAACGGCUGGUUUUAAAAGUAUUAGCUGGUACUAGAACGAAUUGGUUCUACUCAACGUGAUAAUUAUCUGAUCGUUGAGGACAUUCCUUUCACGAGGAAUGGGGCCAUAGUAAAUUCAAUGGGACUGGCUUCUAAUCUGGGCUUAAUUCUUUAUUGGGAUUAACCACUUUUCAAAUCUGGACCUCGGGAAUCAGGUGGGACUACCCGCUGAACUUAAGCAUAUCAAUAAGGGC
rnacentral:rRNA from 1 species